CGAAUUCACAAAGGAGGUUUAGAUUUAACCCAGGCUAAAUCGCGUCAUAAUACGUCAUAACCCCGAGCUUUAGACCAUGGGUCAUUAUUUUGGUAUUCACAAAGGAAGUUUAGAUUUAACCCAGGCUAAAUCGCGUCAUAUUACGUCAUAAUUUUAGCCUGCUCAGAAGGGUGGUUUAAACAGCGGGCUAAAUCUAACCCACGGUUUAACCCACGGUUUAACGCGUCAUAUGACGUCAUACCAUCGAGCUUUGGCUUUUUAGCGCAGACGAUCGUACAAAUUUUGUUGACAAAUUUGUGGUGAAACAAAGUGAAGAGACCUUCACAAAGUUGCUGUUUUUUCAACUUUGAUAGCCUACAUUAGACAGCAUGGCUGAAUAUAUUCACCAUCUCCGCCAGCUUGAUCGGAACAGAGAGUUGAUAGGCAGACCUCAGAGAGGCCUUCGUGACCCAUGAACCCUUUUGAAGUGUAUGAUGAUGAGUCAUUUCGGACCAGGUACUGGUUUUCCAAAGAGACAGCGCUCUACCUCAUCAACUUGGUGGAUGAAGAGCUGAGGAGGACGACAGACAGAAACGACCCAAUACCUAUACAGGUAGUGACAGCACUUCGAUCCUAUGCUGUUGGGUCAUUCCAAAAGAUGCAUGGUGAUGAGGCACAACUUUCACAGUCUUCUGUAUGCAGAGUCAUCAAAGACGUGUCAGAAGCGUUUGCAA
rnacentral:lncRNA from 1 species